GACGGCACGCCUUUCUUUGCAUUCGCUUCGUUGCUUUUUAGGUUUUCGUCUAUUGCACGCCUUUGUGCCUCUGAUACGUCGUCCGGUGAUUUCUUCCUGCUAUGUGUUUCCUCUUUGGAGUUUGGUCUCCUCUGUUCGCCGAUCGUGUACUCUAUUGAUUCGUCGGUGAGUCGGAUCGUUUGUUCUUCUGUUAUGGCGAUUUUUCUCCCGGCUAUUUCCUAGAUAGACAUGAGCUUUUGAAUUUUCAAAUUGGUUUUGCGUCUUACCCUCGUAAGAUCACGGCGUGGAUGGCCUUCUGGUGUUAUCUACUUGCGGAGGUUGCCCAUCUGCUGCGAGCAGCGAAUCCUGGGCGAUGAAGGCUUACGAGGUUGUGGAUGGAUGGAUUUCAUGACGUCUCUCGUUUUAAGUACUUAGAACUUGAGAUGUGAAUAUGGGAUUCUGUCGUUGAGUGCCAUUUGGGAAUUGUGGAUCAGCAUGGAUGGUAAGGUACAAUUUAGGAUAUUUGUUAGUUGCUUCCUGUUCUCUGUUACCACGACCUUUGCCAAGUUGGGUGCGCUCGCUUGGCAGGUCAAAAAAAUAAUAAAGACAUUUUUUUUGUUUUUUGGGGGCUCGCAUGGGGUGAUUUUGAACCCCGGGUUCCCCCUGUGUGCCUUGCGUUGUUGCUGUUCUCUACUUGCUCCAUUGUACGCCGGAUUUAUCUACAAAUGCAUCUGCAACGAAACUACGAUCGAUUCCUCAAGGUACAAAGCAAUACGAUCUUUCCAAAUCCACCAGGUAUUAAUUUAUUUCUUUUGGUCAAAAGAAACAGCAGCAAAUCCAAAUCCAAGGAAAUCAUGGUCAAUUCCACAAGGUACCAAGCAAUUUUAUCUUCCCAUUCACUGAGGUAUAGAUUUUAGCUUAUGAUUAAUUGAAAUAGAAGCGCAAGUGUCAAUUUCGUCAUCUUAACUUAUUGUUACCAAACGUUCCUACGGCGUUCAUUUACACAAUAUAAGUAUCAUUGACAUUUGUGCAGUGUUUUUAGUAAAGGUUAAUAUUGUCUAAUUUACAUUUGCUGAAUCUUUGCAUAUUAUUUUCCUCAGUAACGAUUGUUUAUUUAGAGACCCAAGUUCACUGUCCCAAGUUAUUUAAUUUGGUAUGUAACUCUUAUCGCAAAGAAACAUUUAUUUAGCUAUGUAAGACUAGAUGUUGGUGUUUUUUAGUGUUGCGUAUUUGGAUACGCUUGCUUGCCUGUCGUACAUGUAUUUGUAGAUUAUACACUGCACGUAGAAGGAUUUGGAGAUUGACGGUUAUAACAAUGGGUGACAUUGAAGAACUGCGUUGACGACUCAUCCUAGAUUCAGAUCCAGAGAUCCAGUCGUGGCUUGUUGCUUGUGUUUGUCAUCAUCCUUGCCGUUGACGGAGAUUUAAAGAUCAAGGAAGUUGAAUCUAAUGAAGUUGAUCAGUGAUAAUUAUAGAUUUGUAUGGAAGGCUCAUCCAAGUUCUACUACUGGCUCGAUGGUUCUGUAUGUCAAUCUUCUUAUGUCUAGGUGUUGGCCGAAUUUAUCUAUCUGCCCAGUCGAAUGAUGAAAUUUACAAUUAUCUGUGGUUGCUCCAUCGGAAACCAGAUUUAACCAACUGUCAAUCUUCAACAAAAGCUGACCAUUUCCCCGAGCCGUGUUGAAGUAAUUGCUCAGUAAUUUCUUUGCUCAUUCAUCAUGGUGAACGGCUUCUGGUGCACAUGCUGAUCAUACCGCAAUUAUGGUUUGUGUUCAACUAUAAGUAAUUGAGAUUUUGCACAUGUAUUAGUUUUCUUAUUUUAGAUGUUCCUUCUAAGAUGGAACAUGCUUUAGUUUUUAAUGGAUCCCAGGGAAGUGAUAGUUUUGAACUCCUUGAAAAACAUCAUCACGUGCUAUAUACAAUUUGUAUGAGUUAAAAUUCUGA